CCCGCUGAACUUAAGCAUAUCAAUAAGCGGAGGAAAAGAAACUAACAAGGAUUCCCCUAGUAACUGCGAGUGAAGCGGGAAAAGCUCAAAUUUGAAAUCUGGCGGCUCUGCCGUCCGAGUUGUAUUCUGGAGAAGUGCCUUCCGCGCCGGACCGUGUACAAGUCCCUUGGAACAGGGCGUCAUAGAGGGUGAGAAUCCCGUCCUUGACACAGACUCCCAGUGCUUUGUGAUGCGCUCUCAACGAGUCGAGUUGUUUGGGAUUGCAGCUCAAAAUGGGAGGUAAAUUCCUUCUAAAGCUAAAUAUUGGCGAGAGACCGAUAGCGAACAAGUACCGUGAGGGAAAGAUGAAAAGCACUUUGGAAAGAGAGUUAAACAGUACGUGAAAUUGUUAAAAGGGAAACGAUUGAAGUCAGUCGCGUCUACUUGGACUCAGCCUUACUUUGGUUUGGUGCAUUUCCUUGUGGACGGGCCAGUGUCCAUGUCGAUUGCUGGAAAAGGUUCAGAGGAAUGUGACUCUUUUAGAGUGUUAUAGCCUCGGUUCAUAUACAGUGGUUGAUAUGGAGUGGUACAGCAUGCUUCGGUGGUGCUUGUGCUGGCAUAAUGGCUUUAAACGACCCGUCUUGAAACACGG
rnacentral:rRNA from 1 species